rnacentral:rRNA from 1 species
UGUGAGAGCACCUAUACUAUUCGAGAGUCUGCCUUUGCAUAGGCAUGAUCCGAGUUUGGAACUCAUGGCCAGUCUAUCGUAGACAUGAUCACGUUUUCUUAGAUAUGCCGAUACAGCUGGAGCUUGUUGUGAGUGGCAAGUCUCUCAAGCCAAGGCACUUUGCCUCAGACUAUAUGUCUGAUAGCAGUCCUCUAGCCUUGGCUAGUUGUAAUUAACUUUUGGUGCCUCACUGUGGCAAGACAACCCGCUAGACUUAAGCAUAUUAAUCAGCGGAGGAAAAGAAACUAACUAGGAUUCCCUUAGUAACUGCGAGUGAAGCGGGAUAAGCUCAAUGUGUGAAUCGGCCGAGGAUAGUACUUCGUGUCCGAGUUGUGCACUAAGGACACUUUGUCGGCAGGGCUUGGGGCAGAAGUGCCAAUGAAACAUGGCAUCAGAGAGGGUCAUAGUCCCGUGCUUGCUCAGUCCAAGCCUGUGUGCAGCGAAAAGUGCUCCGCGAGUCGCAUAGUUUGGUAAUGCUAUGCCAAGUGGGAGGUAGAGCCCUUCUAAAGCUAAAUAUGAUGAUGUGACCGAUAGUUCACAAGUACCGCGAGGGAAAGGUGAAAAGUAACCAUGUAGAAUGGGUUGAAAGAGAAGUGAAAGUGCUACCGGGAUAAGGGCAUGUGACAGCUGGUGUCUGUAGGGCGUGCUUCAGUGCUGCCCUUCCAGAACGGUGUGCGGGUGCGUCUAGUGGGGGGACAAGGCCGUUUGGGAAUGUG